AUUGAACGCUAGCGGGAUGCCUUACACAUGCAAGUCGAACGGAGUGGCGAACGGGUGAGUACUGUAUCGGAACGUGCCCGGUAGCGGGGGAUAACUACGCGAAAGCGUAGCUAAUACCGCAUACGAUUAGAGCGGCCUAAAUCGGAUUAGCUAGUUGGUGGGGUAACGGCUCACCAAGGCGACGAUCCGUAGCUGGUUUGAGAGGACGACCGGCCACACGGGGACUGAGACACGGCCCAGACUCCUACGGGAGGCAGCAGUGGGGAAUUUUGGACAAUGGGGGAAACCCUGAGCCAGCCAGCCCGCGUGUGCGAUGAAGGCCUUCGGGUUGUAAAGCACUUUUGGCAGGAAAGCGGUACCUACAGAAUAAGCACCGGCUAACUACGUGCCAGCAGCCGCGGUAAUAC
rnacentral:rRNA from 1 species